AUGGUAACGGUGACAUCAGUCACUUCAUCCAAACCAACCGUGUUUCCUCUGAUGCAAUGCGGGUCUGAGACUGCAAACACCGUCACUCUUGGCUGCCUUGCCACUGGCUUCUCGCCCUCCUCGGUGACCUACGCGUGGAGCAAAGCUGGAACUGCCUUGACGGACUUCAUCCAGUAUCCUCCAGUAGAGAAGAGUGGUGUUUAUACAGGAAUCAGUCAAAUCAAAGUGAACAAAGAGGACUUGGAUGCAAAGCAGCCCUUUAAAUGCAUCGCAUCAAACACAGCAGGAGACGGAGAGGGGAUUUUCAUCGUGACACAUUUUGCACCAAAGCAGUACGAGUUCAAAUGGCUGAAAAACGAUGGGGUAAUCCCCCACGACACAUAUGUGGACCAAACUCCUGCCAAAGAAAAAAAGACAGAGAAUGGAACUCUGUACAGUGCAGCAAGUUUCCUCACAGUACCAGCCAGCGAGUGGACUCAAGACACCAAGUAUGUAUGCGAGUUUAAGGGGAAAGGAGGACUGACUCAGCGUCCAUCAGUGUUUAUGCUGCCUCCGUUAGAACAUACUAGAAAAGAAAUGGUGACCUUGUCUUGCUAUGUGAAAGACUUCUACCCCAAGGAGGUUUAUGUGUCUUGGCUUGUUGAUGACGAGAAAGCAGACUCAAAGUACGGGUUCCAUACCACAAAACCUGUAGAAAACCAAGGAUCUUAUUCGGCAUAUAGCCAGUUAUCCCUCAGCUUCGAGCAGUGGAACAAGAGUGAUGCAGUGUUUAGUUGUGUAGUAUACCACGAGUCUCUGACUAACACAACUAAAGCUAUUGUCAGGUCCAUUGGGUCCAAAACCUCUCAAAACAUCAACCUGGUCAACCUCAACAUGAACAUCCCUGAAACGUGCAAGGCCCAGUAG